GUGGGGAAUCUUAGACAAUGGGCGCAAGCCUGAUCUAGCCAUGCCGCGUGAGCGAUGAAGGCCUUAGGGUUGUAAAGCUCUUUCGUGGGGGAAGAUAAUGACUGUACCCCAAGAAGAAGCCCCGGCUAACUCCGUGCCAGCAGCCGCGGUAAUACGGAGGGGGCUAGCGUUGUUCGGAAUUACUGGGCGUAAAGCGCACGUAGGCGGACUGGAAAGUCAGGGGUGAAAUCCCGGGGCUCAACCCCGGAACUGCCUUUGAAACUCCCAGACUUGAGUUCGAGAGAGGUGGGUGGAAUUCCGAGUGUAGAGGUGAAAUUCGUAGAGAUUCGGAGGAACACCAGUGGCGAAGGCGGCUCACUGGCUCGAUACUGACGCUGAGGUGCGAAAGCGUGGGGAGCAAACAGGAUUAGAUACCCGAGUAGUCC
rnacentral:rRNA from 1 species